rnacentral:rRNA from 1 species
UACGUAGGGGGCUAGCGUUGUCCGGAUUUAUUGGGCGUAAAGAGCGUGUAGGCGGCCAGGUAGGUCUGCUGUGAAAACUCGAGGCUCAACCUCGAGACGUCGGCGGAAACCAUCUGGCUAGAGUCCGGAAGAGGAGAGUGGAAUUCCUGGUGUAGCGGUGAAAUGCGCAGAUAUCAGGAAGAACACCCGUGGCGAAGGCGGCUCUCUGGGACGGUACUGAUGCUGAGACGCGAAAGCGUGGGGAGCAAACAGG